rnacentral:misc_RNA from 1 species
AAGUCGUAACAAGGUUUCCGUAGGUGAACCUGCGGAAGGAUCAUUAUCGAUUCGAAAGGCUCUUGGAUUGUAGCUGGCCUUCCGAGGCAUGUGCACGUCUUAGGCCGUUCUAUUUUCCCCUGUGCACCUCUGCGUGGGUUUCCAUCGGCCGUCGCCUUUGGACGCAGCUGAGUUUUCUGUCUCCGUCGCUUGGCCGAACGUCUUUAAGCCUCGCACGCGGAGUAGAUGAUUGCUCGAGCUGGCCCGCGUCUAUUAUCAACUUUUUGUAUGUCUUAGAAUGUCUUUAGUGUGUGCGCGUAAAAAACGCACAUCGUUAAUACAACUUUCAACAACGGAUCUCUUGGCUCUC